GAUGAAGAACGUAGCGAAAUGCGAUAAGUAAUGUGAAUUGCAGAAUUCAGUGAAUCAUCGAAUCUUUGAACGCACAUUGCGCCCGCCAGUAUUCUGGCGGGCAUGCCUGUUCGAGCGUCAUUUUCACCUUCAAGCUCUGCUUGUGUUGGGGUCCUGCGGCUGCCCGCAGGCCCUGAAACCCAGUGGCGGGCUCGCUAGUCACACCGAGCGCAGUAGCACAUCUCGCUCAGGGCGUGCGGCGGGUUCUUGCCGUAAAACAACCCCCCCUUUUCACCAAGGUUGACCUCGGAUCAGGUAGGAAUACCCGCUGAACUUAAGCAUAUCAAUAAGCGGAGGA
rnacentral:misc_RNA from 1 species